GCGGAGCUGAGCGGACCUUGAGGCGCCUGCGGAGGACGAGUGGAGCUGAGCGAGGACGAGCGGCCUCCGGCCAGAGCUGGGCGGGUGCACUGUCAGGUGCCGGUGGCUUUUCUCAGGAGGAAGCGCCUGGAGGACGCGGGCUCUGGGCGGUCAGCUUGUCUGUGGAGAAGGCAGGACGCGGGCCCUGAGCGGACCAUGAGGCGACUGCGGAGGAUGAGCUGAACUAAGCAGAGGACGAGCGGUCUCCGGCCAGGCAUUUUAAGAAGAAAACAUGCAGAGUCUCAGGAUAAAAUGGGGAGAGCCUGGAAGCUUGGAAUCGCGAAUAUAGGUUCAUGGUGUAUAGACCAAUGUGGGAUGGUCUGGACGGAUCGGAUCCCAUCAGCACUUGCUCUUGCCGCUGGCAUUUCUCCAAGUCUGCAUCAAGUUUUCAUCUAUACUUUCAUGUCUACACUUGGGCCUGGAGAAGGAGGUGAAGCCUCUCCCUUCCU